AUACUUACCUGGCAGAGGAGAUACCACGAUCAGGAAGGUGGCCUUCCCAGGGACAGGCUCACCCACUGCACUCCGGGUGUGCUAACCCUUGCAAUUUUCCCCAAUUGUGGGAAACUCAACUGUAUAAUUUGUGGUAGUGGGGGACUGCGUUUACUCUCUCCCCUG